UUCUCAAUAAUGAAGAAAAUUCAGGUUUUUUCUUCUCUUACCUACUAAAUUUGUAUUAAUUUUUUUUUAGUGUGGCUGUUUCAGCUUAGUUUGUGCUUGCUCACAUUAUUUUGACGAACUACUUUUGAAAAUCCAAGCCAGCAUCCCUUGGUUUUCUUAAAGGAUGUAAAGUUCUGGGAACUUCGAACCAUCAUAGACUUCAUUUAUACCGGUGAAUUGAAAAUAAGUAUAGAGAGAUUACCUAUGCUCUUAGCCGCAGCUGAAUGCUUGCAAAUCAAAGACUUGAUUGAAAACCUUAGAAUGCCAGACAAUCAGUCAUCUAGUAGGACCAAAUACAGUGAUUCAUCGAAUAGUGACCUAAAUUAUUCAGCUCGAAUCAGAAGUAACUAUCAUCAAAAUGAAGGAAGGAGCAGAAAAUCUCAUCGCCAAAGUGGUGUUUAUGUGGAUGUAUCGAAUUCUUGCCAUACCGCUAAUAUUCAUGAUCGACAGAUUCUAAAAGCUCCAAGUGCAAGGAUUAGCGAUGCACCCUCAUUAAAAAGGAUCAAAGUUGAGCGCCCUGAUCAUCAUACAGAUUAUGAGAUGCAGGGGAGUGGCAAUCAAGGCUAUGAAUCUUGGCCUUCCUAA
rnacentral:lncRNA from 1 species